rnacentral:lncRNA from 1 species
CCUGCUCACUAAGCCACUGCCUGGCACUAUGCUUCUUCCGCUGCUCACCAAGUUGCAGGUGGUUUCCCCCUCCAACUUGAGGGGGGGGUGUCGAGAUGAAGGAGAUUACAUGAUUAUAUACAGUGUAUAUUUAUUGUAUCAUCUGGUAUACAAUGGUAUGGGCUAUGAUGAUUGUGUGUUGUUGGGCCAAUUGUAUGUACCGAGCCCAAUUCAUGUCUGAGCCCCAUUUCACUUUCAUUCUUUGGGUCAUCCGACCCGACCCACGUGUACAUGUAUAUAUAGG